AAGACUCCUGACAAGCUGUAUGGAUAUGAUAGCUAGUGUAUUGCUUUUUAGAGAGGCAACUUACAAUGAUUUGCUACAUCAUGUUUGAAGAACCUUUGAGACUUAUAUCCUGGGACUUCAUAUACUUCUAGAAAAAUGGCUCAACUAGUGAAUUCAAAGAGAAUACACAGUAAAUAUCAACAUAACACAGAAAAUUAUGUGGUAGUACUACAUGUAGCUGAAGGUAAAUAAAGACUUCAAAGAAAGUUUCUCCAUGCCUGUCACCUAGAAGUUACAGAAGUCUGCCAGCCUGUCACUUUGAUGUAACAGAAGUCUGGCAGCCUGUCACUUUGAUGUAACA